rnacentral:rRNA from 1 species
CAGGCCUAACACAUGCAAGUCGAGGGUAACGAUGGUGCUUGCACCAGGCGACGACCGGCGCACGGGUGAGUAACGCGUAUGCAACCUGCCUUACACUGGGGGAUAGCCCAGAGAAAUCUGGAUUAAUACCGCAUAAUAAUUGUUUUUCGCAUGUUAAACAAUUUAAAACUCCGGUGGUGUAAGAUGGGCAUGCGUAAUAUUAGCUAGUUGGUGAGGUAAUGGCUCACCAAGGCGAUGAUAUUUAGGGGGUCUGAGAGGAUAGUCCCCCACACUGGUACUGAGACACGGACCAGACUCCUACGGGAGGCAGCAGUGAGGAAUAUUGGUCAAUGGACGCAAGUCUGAACCAGCCAUGUCGCGUGUAGGAUGACUGCCCUAUGGGUUGUAAACUACUUUUUUACAGGAAUAAACUUCUCCACGUGUGGAGAACUGAAGGUACUGUAGGAAUAAGGAUCGGCUAACUCCGUGCCAGCAGCCGCGGUAAUACGGAGGAUUCGAGCGUUAUCCGGAUUUAUUGGGUUUAAAGGGUCCGUAGGCGGGCUUGUAAGUCAGUGGUGAAAUCUCACAGCUCAACUGUGGAACUGCCAUUGAUACUGCAGGUCUUGAAUUUAGUUGAGGUGGGCGGAAUACGAUAUGUAGCGGUGAAAUGCAUAGAUAUAUCGUAGAACACCGAUUGCGAAGGCAGCUCACUAAGCUAAUAUUGACGCUGAUGGACGAGAGCGUGGGGAG